AUGUAGUGUAGCAUGCCCGUUUGGUGAGUUACUCUGAUGUAUGAUUAUUUAUUAUUUAAUUGAAUUUGGGAAACGGGGUGUUACAGUUUU
rfam:Medicago truncatula strain A17 chromosome 5, whole genome shotgun sequence.